rnacentral:rRNA from 1 species
UUCCUCUUAGUUAAAGAGGUAAGGCCUGCUCACUGAGUAAUUAAAGAGCCGCAGUAUCCUAACUGUGCUAAGGUAGCAUAAUCAUUAGCCUUUUAAUUGAAGGCUGGUAUGAAUGGCUAAACGAGAAAUUGACUUUUUUUAUUAUAAACAUCGAAUUUAAUUUUUUAGUGAAAAAGCUAAAAUUAUUUAGAAAGACGAGAAGACCCUAUAGAGUUUUAUAUAAAAGGUUAAUUUAUUUCAUUAGUUUUGGAAAAAUUCAUUAAUUCUAUAUAUUUUGUUGGGGCGACAUUAAGAUAAAAAAAACUCUUUAUUUUUUAAACUUUUAUAAAAGUUUAGCUUGAUCCUUUAAAAAAGAUCAUAAGAAAAAAUUACCUUAGGGAUAACAGCGUAAUCUUUUUUGAGAGUUCUAAUCGACAAAAAGGUUUGCGACCUCGAUGUUGGACUAAAAUUUAGGCAAGGUGCAGCAGUUUUGCUUUAGGGUCUGUUCGACCCAUAAUAUUUUACGUGAUCUGAGGUUUCAGACCG